AAUAGGAUCGAAGAAGCUUGCUUCUUCUGAUUUAGCGGCGGACGGGUGAGUAACACGUGGGCAACCUACCUAGUAGAUUGGGAUAACUCCGGGAAACCGGGGCUAAUACCGAAUAAUUCAUUUCACCUCAUGGUGAGAUGCUGAAAGGCGGUUUCGGCUGUCACUACUAGAUGGGCCCGCGGUGCAUUAGCUAGUUGGUGGGGUAAUGGCCUACCAAGGCAACGAUGCAUAGCCGACCUGAGAGGGUGAUCGGCCACAUUGGGACUGAGACACGGCCCAAACUCCUACGGGAGGCAGCAGUAGGGAAUCUUCCACAAUGGACGAAAGUCUGAUGGAGCAACGCCGCGUGAGUGAUGAAGGUUUUCGGAUCGUAAAACUCUGUUGUAAGGGAAGAACAAGUACGUUAGUAACUGAACGUACCUUGACGGUACCUUAUUAGAAAGCCACGGCUAACUACGUGCCAGCAGCCGCGGUAAUACGUAGGUGGCAAGCGUUGUCCGGAUUUAUUGGGCGUAAAGCGCGCGCAGGUGGUUUCUUAAGUCUGAUGUGAAAGCCCACGGCUCAACCGUGGAGGGUCAUUGGAAACUGGGAGACUUGAGUGCAGAAGAGGAAAGUGGAAUUCCCAGUGUAGCGGUGAAAUGCGUAGAGAUUUGGAGGAACACCAGUGGCGAAGGCGACUUUCUGGUCUGUAACUGACACUGAGGCGCGAAAGCGUGGGGAGCAAACAGGAUUAGAUACCCUGGUAGUCCACGCCGUACACGAUGAGUGCUAAGUGUUAGGGGGGUUUCCGCCCCUUACUGCUGCGGCUAACGCAUUAAGCACUCCGCCUGCCGAGUACGGCCGCAGGCUGAGACUCAAACGAAAUAGACAAGAGCCCGCACCAGCCGCUGAGCAUGUGAUUAGUCGAAGAACGCGAGACCAUACAUGUCUGACGUGCCGAUGACCGCUCUAGAGAUAGUGUUAUACAUACGGGACAUGGUGACAGUGUGAUGGUAGCGUCUGCUCUCGUCCCGAAUGUGAGUGAGAUCAGAACUACUCACCCUGAGCGACUGCCAUCAUUAAUUGCCAUCAAAGUGAAGACCCUCCACACCGCCGAAGGAGGAUGAGGGAAUUAAGACCAUUGACCCUGCCUCCCCCCUUGUUACAUGAAGU
rnacentral:rRNA from 1 species